rnacentral:pre_miRNA from 1 species
CCCCUUUGUCAAUUACACUGCGGAGCUAGGGCAGCAGUGUUGUCGACUAGAGGACC